AUGUUACCAACAUUUUACCAAAGCUGUAGCGAGAUGAUUAACGAGUGGGAGAAGUUGGUGUCCAAAGAAGGUUCAUGUGAGUUGGAUGUGUGGCCUUGUCUUCAAACUUUGUCCGCUGAUGUGAUUUCUCGGGCUGCAUUUGGAAGUAGCUAUCAAGAGGGAAGGAAAAUAUUUCAGCUACUGCGAGAGCAAGAAAAAAUUUUCACAACAGCCAUCCAAAGUGUUUACAUUCCAGGGUCAAGGUUUCUACCAACCAAGCAGAACAAGAGGAUGAAGAAAAUAUAUGAAGAAAUAAGAGUGUUGCUCAAGGGCAUUAUAAAUAAAAGAGAAGAGGCAAUGAAGUUGGGUGAAGCCAGUAAACAUGACUUAUUAGGGUGUACUUAUGGAGUCCAACUUGAAGGAAAUUCGAGAACAUGGGAACGACAGAAACACUGGAAUGAGUCUUGAAGAUGUAAUUGAAGAGUGUAAGCUGUUUUACUUGGCUGGACUAGAGACCACUUCUGUGCUGCUUGUUUGGGCAAUGGUUUUGCUAAGUCAAAACCAGAAUUGGCAAGCUCGUGCAAGAGAAGAGGUCUUGCAACUCUUUGAAAGCAACCCACCAAUCUAUGAUACCCUAAGCCACCUAAAAGUUGUGACAAUGGUUUUCCUUGAAGUUCUUCGAUUACACCCAGCAGCCGUUGAGCUUCCACGAACCAGUCGCAAGAAAACACAGCUUGGAAAGUUCUCAUUGCCGGCCGGAGUCGAUGUCUCCAUACACAUAAUGCUUGCUCACCAUGACAAAGAAUUGUGGGGUGAGGAUGCAGAUGAGUUCAAGCCAGAGAGGUUUUCAGAAGGAGUUGCAGAGGCAACAAAGAACCAAUUUGCAUACUUUCCUUUUGGAGCAGGUCCACGGAUUUGCAUUGGGCAAAACUUCGCUAUGCUGGAAGCAAAAUUGGCCUUAUCAUUGAUUUUGCAACACUUCACCUUUGAGCUUUCUCCAUCCUGUGCUCAUGCUCCUUUGGCAUUAAUAACCCUUCAACCUCAAUAUGGUGCUCAUAUUAUUUUAAGUAAACGUUGAUUAGUUCUGAAUUGUAUGUAUUAAGGACAUCACAUGGCUUAGCCAGCCAUAUUAACCAUGUAUAUUUUAU